UUUUAUAACUGAAUAUUUCCUGAGACGUGGGUGCCUUCGGGCUUAAUACGCUGCCUGCUGAGGAUACAAGACUUUUUACUAAGGGUUUUCUUGAGUCCUUGUGCUUUGGCAUAAGGACUUUAUUUUUUUAGAA
rfam:Dehalococcoides ethenogenes 195, complete genome.